ACUAACUAAAGAAAUUGAAUUAACUGCCCUUUUUAAUAAAAUAUCGGUAAGAAAAUAGAAAUAAUCAUUUUAAAUGUCAAUAUGUUUUACACUCAAUUUAUUAUGUAAAGUGAAUAUAUAAAAACAUUGUUAUGACAUUGUUGUUGUUAUAGACUAUAAAUGUUUUAAAAACUUCAUUAUGCAACUGUACGUACUUUGUAUGUUUUUACAUAGUUUUACAUUACACUUUUUGUAAAAAAUUAAUUAAAUGUGAUACAUUUUUUUUUUUUUUUUUUCCAACAUGGCUGCCCUAUAAUAUUAGGUUGGCGCUAAAACAAUUAACUUAGAAGAAGCAUUGGACAUAAUAUACCAAUUGGGCUAUUAUCCUUCCAAAGAAAACAUAGAUGAAUUUGUUUAUACUACAAAUGGUAUUUACUCUUUGUCUAACAUUAAAAAAUUUUGCAAUAAACUUGAAUCAGUUGAUUGCUCUACCGAAGGAUUAAUAGACGUGUUUAACUAUUAUGACAUAAAUAAAACAGGUAAAAUAUCAAAAGAAGUAAUUAAGAUGUUAUUUACUACUGUUGGUUCUAAAUUAUCAAAUUCAGAGAUGGAUAUCAUUAUCAGGUAUAUAAAAUUAAUGCGUGAUAGAAAAGAAAAAAAAAAAAAUAUAUAUAUAUAUAUAUAUAUAUAUAUAAGUCGCAAGACUGUUAAAUACAAAUUUUUUAUUUAUUACCACUUUUAUUUUUAUACAACAAAAGUAAAUUAUGCAACGCGGACGAACAAGUAGAUUAUAAGGAUUUUUUAAACAAGUAAAAAUAUACUUACUAUACACAUUUGAAUGUACAUAUGCAUUAGCUUCAAAUGUAUAAAUGUACAUGUUAACAUAUAUAUACACAUAUAUGAAAUUUAUUUUUUAUAGGUUAUUAAAUCAAUGAUAUAAAAACAUUCUCUGUGUUACACACACGCACAUGUUCUAUAGUUAAACUUUCUGCUUAUGCAAAAAAAAAAAAAAUAAGAAAAUCCGUUUAAGGAUUUGGUAACAGCCAGAAUGGAUUAUUUACAUUUUUUUUUAUCUUCGUUUUAUGCCACAUUUUCAUUGUUUUUGUUUUUUUUGUUAUAGAAUUUACAUUUUCAAAAAUGUACCAUACAAAAUAAUAAAAUAACAAAAAUUUUAUACA
rnacentral:lncRNA from 1 species